UUUCCGUAGGUGAACCUGCGGAAGGAUCAUUACAGAGUGUGAUGCCAUAUGGAACUCAGUUUCGUGUGGUUGACCCUCCACCCGUGUCGAUUAUCUCAUGUUGCUUUGGCGGACUCGGCUUGCCCGCGCCCACUUUGGUGGGGGAAUGUCCGCCAGGGAAGACCAAAACUCUUGUUAUCAGUGAUGUCUGAGGAUGAUAUAUAAUCAUGAAAACUUUCAACAACGGAUCUCUUGGCUCUGGCAUCGAUGAAGAACGCAGCGAAAUGCGAUAAGUAAUGUGAAUUGCAGAAUUUAGUGAAUCAUCGAAUCUUUGAACGCACAUUGCGCCCCUGGGAAUUCCCAGGGGCAUGCCUGUUCGAGCGUCCGUAACAACCUCUCAAGCCUGGCUUGGUCUUGGGACACGCUGCUCUAGCGGCGGUCCUUAAAAGCAGUGGCGGGCCUAUGUAACUCUCCGCGUAGUAAUAUACAUCUCGCGAUAGAGAAGCAGAAGGACUUGCCAAAAAUCCUUAAUUGCUCAGGUUGACCUCGAAUCAGGUAGGGAUACCCGCUGAACUUAAGCAUAUCAAUAAGCGGAGGAAAAGAAACCAACAGGGAUUGCCCCAGUAACG
rnacentral:rRNA from 1 species